rnacentral:lncRNA from 1 species
GCCGCCGUCAGCUGACUGCGGCCGGCAGCCCGCACCGCCCGCACGGCCCGGCCCCGAGCCACGGUGACUGCGGAAGCCCCGCUGCGGCCGCUCCCCCCUCGCCCUCCCGCCCCCUUCUCCCCGGCCAUGGCAGGGGUCGUGGUGAGCGGAGCACAAGUGUCCUACAUUAGUCAAGACUGUGAAGAAAUUCCAGAAUUUCUGGGAAGAAAAUACGGACAUAUGGCAAAAAGACUAGAUCUUAGCUUCAACUUGUUAAGUAGCCGUGCCUGUGUUCUGUUACUUUGUCAGCUUUAA